GAUGAACGCUAGCGGCAGGCUUAACACAUGCAAGUCGAGGGGUAUAGGAAGCUUGCUUCCUAGAGACCGGCGCACGGGUGCGUAACGCGUAUGCAAUCUACCUUUUGCAGAGGGAUAGCCCAGAGAAAUUUGGAUUAAUACCUCAUAGUAUGUGAGAAUGGCAUCAUUUUCACAUUAAAGUCACAACGGCAAAAGAUGAGCAUGUGUCCCAUUAGCUUGUGGGUAAGGUAACGGCUUACCAAGGCAACGAUGGGUAGGGGUCCUGAGAGAGAGAUCCCCCACACUGGUACUGAGACGCGGACCAGACUCCUACGGGAGGCAGCAGUGAGGAAUAUUGGACAAUGGGCGCAAGCCUGAUCCAGCCAUGCCGCGUGCAGGAUGACGGUCCUAUGGAUUGUAAACUGCUUUUGUACAGGAAGAAACACUGGUUCGUGAACCAGCUUGACGGUACUGUAAGAAUAAGGAUCGGCUAACUCCGUGCCAGCCGCCGCGGUAAGAC
rnacentral:rRNA from 1 species